AAAAAAUCUGUCUUAUUAGUUAGGUACUGUUUUGUUUCCAUUUCACCCAUGAGGGAGCUGAAGCAUAGAGGGGUUAAGGAACGUGCCCGGUUCCCUUGUUGGCCAAUGUUGAACUGGGAUUCUGGACCUAUGUGCCUUGACCUCAGUGUGUAUGUGCAAGACUGCCCUUCCUUGAAUGAGCUGGCCUCGCCUCCUUGUCUUGCUGGGAAACCGGGCAAGGACAAACUUUGAAAGGUACGGUGACUUCUUAGCAAUAAUGGAAGCGACCGCCGGGUAUGGCUCCAAUGUGCCAGCACUAAGCACUUCACAGACACCGUCUCCCUCUACCCUGACAGCCGCGGAAGGGUGACCUUUCCCUGUCUAUUUUAUAGGGCGAGAAACCGAGCCACAGGAAGGGUAGGUGGCUUUCUCUUGAUCCCAGCUAAUUUGUAGCAGAAUGAGGAUUCGAACAUCCUUUCAGUUCAGUGUGCUGGCUGGUGGUGGUGUUAUUCACAUGGAGUCCUCACAUGGAGCCCGGCAGAGAUGCUCCUGCAGUCAUGGCCCUGGCCGCUGCUGUGCACACCUCACUGUGAGCAUCUUUGGAAAUGGGCACACUGCCCAACUCCUUCUCUUCCCUGUCUUUAUGCUGCCUGGUCUCCCACCUGUUCACCUCCGUAGACCCAAGGCUGGAGUGGCUGCCCUGGGACUUCUGUGCCGUUGUGGGGAGAGUUGGGGACACAGUCUGCACAGGAGCCUGGCUCCACACUGCCAGGAGACAAAAUCCAUGCCCGUUCAAGAGGUAACAAAGGAAUGCAAAGGGCGUGGGCGGUGGAGUCACACAGGCUUCAGUGUGACUGAGCGAUUUCCUGUUGCACUCCAGUGUGACAUUCUGAGUCUGUUUCCCUAUCUGGGAAAUGAGCCUGUAGGUCUAGAGAGAGACUGCAGAGAAGCCUGGUUCUGCAGGGGCCCCAACGACCCGAGGCACUUUCCCUCUUGAGGGCAAGAUGAGCUAGGGAGGCCCCAGAGAACAGAGGGAAGGGCGUGGACUGUGUCUCCCAUGUUGGAAUGAGGGACUCCGUAGAACUGGAGUUUGUGGGAUUCUCCCCCCACCCCCACCCCCGCCCCCGCUUAGGAGGAAUUACUAGGAAAAUCACUAAAGACAUAUAGCACAGUUGCAAAGCUUCAGAAGACUGGUUGAAGUCUCAAAGCUGAAAAGACAUUGUAAAGUAAGAUGCAGCCACGCUGAAGAUUACUAAAAGGUAGAAGUGAUCUGGUGACGACCCACUCCAUCACUCAUCUCCAGCCUACAUGAAAGACAAGAGAGAUUUGAAAGGAAUUCAAGAGUCUUUUUUGUCCUCCCAUCUCCUUUACCCCCUGGAGGAAGAGAGGGAGUGCCCCUGCAGACUGGUUAAUCUGACAUCAGAAGCACUCAUAGAUAUUGAGAAAGGGCUGUCGGAAGGGAAGACUGGACCAGCUCCAGCAAGAAACUUGGUGAGCUUUAGCAACCCAUGGGCUAUCUCGCAGAAUGAAGGGCAGUGGUGACAGAGUGACUUCGCCUGAGAGUUCCCUGUGGUCAUGAAGACACUGUGGAGGUACUGGGGCUUAGGCUGUCCUGCUAGGACCUGCAUCCUGGGGAGGGGGAACCGAGUGGUAGAAGGCUGAAAGGAGAGCUCUUUAGGGCAUGUUUAAGAAGGGGGUUACGAGAGGUCAACCAGGGAACUGCACCAUGCAAUGAACGGGUUCCUAUCAGAGCCCAGUGGGUCGGUGGGGUUGUCGGCAUCUAGAUAUCUGAUAUUACAGAUGGCAGUAGCUGGCGUGCCCCGAGAGAACUGCAAACAGGACUUUGCUUCUCCCUUCUCUGGUCCGCCCCAUCUCUGAGCUAUGGAAUGCCUUGAAACCGGGGAGAGAAGAGUGGAAGAGACCUUACCUCCUACCUCCUUCAGGCUACCAAGGGAGGUGUCACGGGAGGGAUGCUGAGAAAUUCUGAAGUGUGUUCCUCUCUGUGGUCAGAGCUUGCUUUCUGCAGAACUGGAGACCUGGGGACGCUAUUUGCCAACCGCAUGACCUCAGACAAGUACCAUGGACUCUGUGGAUGUCUGUGAUAGGCCCUGGAUGUGGAAUAGUGCUGGGGACAGAUUGAACGCCUGCAUCUGAAGUCGCAACCUGCCUCGGUUACAAGGACCUGGAUGACUUUGGUGCCUUUCUGGGUCAUAGUUUCUCUGUCAACAGAAUAAUAUGACUAGUUGUCUCCAACAUCUGUGCUCCCUUUCCUCCUAGGAAAUAAUCCCAACUGCCACCCGAAUAAAGAGCUUCAUUUCUCAGUGUAGGGCCAUUAAAACCAAGAGGAAAUGGACCAGCAGGCGGUGCAAAGGUUAAAGCAGCUAGAUCCCACAUGGCCGGCUGUGCCCUUUGAGUCUUGGACCUGAUAGCUUGAAAAACACAAUGGGCAUGGUGCGUGUGAGCCUGGAAUAGCAAGAGGAGAAUGGAGGAGAAGGGAUUGAGGCAUGGCCAUCCUCCCAGUGGGUUAUUUCUCAU